GAUGAACGCUGGCGGCGUGCCUAAUACAUGCAAGUCGAGCGAACGGACGAGAAGCUUGCUUCUCUGAUGUUAGCGGCGGACGGGUGAGUAACACGUGGAUAACCUACCUAUAAGACUGGGAUAACUUCGGGAAACCGGAGCUAAUACCGGAUGAUAUUUUGAACCGCAUGGUUCAAAAGUGAAAGACGGUCUUGCUGUCACUUAUAGAUGGAUCCGCGCUGCAUUAGCUAGUUGGUAAGGUAACGGCUUACCAAGGCAACGAUGCAUAGCCGACCUGAGAGGGGGAUCGGCCAAACUGGAACUGAGACACGGUCCCGAAUCCUAAGGGAGGCAGCAGUAGGGAAUCUUCCGCAAUGGGCGAAAGGCUGACGGAGGAAAGCCGCGUGAGUGAUGAAGGUCUUCGGAUCGUAAAACUCUGUUAUUAGGGAAGAACAUAUGUGUAAGUAACUGUGCACAUCUUGACGGUACCUAAUCAGAAAGCCACGGCUAACUACGUG
rnacentral:rRNA from 1 species